CACAAUAGGUGGAAGUAAGAAGCUGCGCUAGGAAGCGAAACGCAUCUCUUAAUUAGUUAUUGUUAGCAUACUGUAUAGAAAGAAGUUCCGACUGACUUUAUAACACCGGUUGCUGUCUUCUGCCCUGUGGGAGAGAUUCUUAGAUGAAGCAUGUAUCAGAUAAAUACUUAAAAUAUAUUUCUAAUGCGACUGAAGGCUAACACAGAAAACUGGACAUCGUGUGGUGUAAAUCAUGUUGCUGCUGCUCCCACAACAAACACUGCAUGACUGAAAAAUAGAAGAUGCUGGGUUCGACACUGACUUCAAAGGAGGGGCCAGGAAAAGGACUGCUAUUCCUUAUUGAUGAAGGAUCCACUGCAAUUCAAAAAUUUUGUGAGAAUGGAUCCAGCUUGUUUCAAUAAGCUGUUAUCCUUCACUGAGCCGAAUACUCACCUGAGAGACACAGUUAUGAGGGACGCAAUUUUGCCAAGCAGAAGGCAAGACUUUAAUUUUGUUAGCAGUUACGUUGCAAUUUCUGGCGACUGGUGAAUCGUACAAGAGCUUGUCAUUUCCACAACAUAUUUCAGUUUUGAAUCUGUCUAAACUGAUAAUAGAUGUAUGCUGUGGAAUACUUUAAAGGGAUAAGUAUUUGAAGGUUCAUGUUUCCUCCAUUACUGAUUUAAAAAAUAGGAAAAAGUGAAAACUUUCACAUCACUUUUGAUUUCUUACAGGCACCAACAACUGAGGAGGAUUGGCUUCAAAUAGAGGCAGCUUUUGAUAAAUUGUGGCAGUUUCCAAACUGCAUAGGUGCUACGGAUGGUACACACAUUGUGUUCUCCCCACUGCGGACUGCAUGUUCACAGUACUACAACUACAGAAAAUUCGAUAGUGUUGUGCAGCUUGCAGUAGUGGAUGCACGUUACAGAUUUCAACUUUUUGACAUUGGAGUUUUGAUGAACAGUAAAAUAAGUGUUGCCCUCUUAGAAAAUUGGUUGAAUGAGCCACAGGCAAUAUCCUUGGAGUGCAGCAAUAUUACUGUACCGGUACCAUAUGUAAUUGUGGCUGAUGAUGCUUUUCGGUUGGAGCCAAACAUAAUGAAACCAUUCAGAGACUGUGGUGGUGAUAAAACCAAAAGAGUGUUCAAUUACAGACUAUCGCGGGCAAGGGGAGUUGUAGAAAAUACAUUUGCCAUCCUUGCAAACAGAUUGAGUUCUCCUGGGUACAAUAAGGCUGCCAGUUGAAAAAGUAGUGCAAAUUGUGGAGACACUAUGCAUUUUACACAAUUUUUUGAUAGCUGAAGCAGAUUCCACAUAUUUGCUGGCUUACAGAUGUAGAGGACACACAAUUGUGCAUAGUGGAGGAAGGAGCUUGGAGGAUGGAUGCUGCUCUACCAGGCAUUGCUCAACAGGUUGGAAAUUGAACACCGUGCAGUGCGAGAGAUGUGUGUGAUAGGUUCUGUCAAUAUUUUAAUAGCAUUACGUAUGUCCCAUGGCAAAGGGAAUCGACAAAAAAUUUGAUUAUUGAGGAAUAUACCUAAGAACUUAAAAUGAAUGCUCUGUGUUAAAAAAAUUGGAAGCUGAUUCAAAAAAGAAGAAACAAUGCAGAAAAAAAGUUUCUUGAUUUUUAAUAGUCUUUCUUAUUUAAAUAAAAUGAGCAUUUUGUUAAUAUAAUUGUAUGUAAUCAGCAUCUUAAAAUAUCAAUAGAGCUCAGCAGCUGGAUUCCAUUGUGAAUUAUUGAAUUUCACAUGUCAGGUAGUUGUAUUUACCUUUUUUUCCCAUUUGUAUGUAUCACCUCAUACCAAUGAAUUUUUUUCUGUAAUGGUGUAGUAUGAGUAGUGAAGGCCAAGCAUUUGAUGUUUGUGUGUCAAAAAUAUCCAUUUCCUCAAAACAUCAAAUGUCUGGGUGUCAAAAACAAAGUGUGUGUGUGUUCAACACACCAGACGCCUGUUCAAAGGUGUAUUAGCUGCAAAUUUAAAGUUAAUGCUGUCUGUAGUAAUUCAAUAAAUAUUAUCAAAUGUUUUGCUGUAUAUGUAGAAUCUUGUCUACUCAAAUGACUUUCCAAGUUUGUCAGGUUAUUUUUGGUCAUCUGAAAAAUGUAAUUCAGGUUGCUGAAUAUAUGAACAAGGCUAUGAAAGAAGGUUGUCGUUAAAAUAUAAGCCAAAGAGCCUUGGGUCAUCCUGGCAGGAGCCAUGAUAAAAAAGUUGCCACUGUUGUGUACUUUCCAUUUAACCCUUCAUUUUUAUUAACUGAUUGUUUUUCUGUGUAAGAGAUCCUAUUUCAUGAUCAUAUGGCUUGAUGUAUCAGAAAUACAUGGGACUUGAAGUAACAGGACUGCCACGAAUAAUUUUUUAAACACUGCUACAGGCUGUAUGUCCCUUAGGAAUGGUACAUUGUGUCAACAUUCGAAUAUCAUAUGUAAUAGGGAAUUCUAAUUUAGCAUAUUAUGAAUGUUGUUAUGCAUAUGGUUUCAUGUUAUAUGUAAUAAUAUUUUAUUUAUGGACAUAUCAUUGUAAAUCUUUUCAUGUCCUAUUUUCUAUGUAAGGCAAUGUAUGACAAAUCCUAUAUCAUUUUUAUAAUG